AGAGUUUGAUCCUGGCUCAGGAUGAACGCUGGCGGUAUGCUUAACACAUGCAAGUCGAACGGAUGUUUUCGGACAUUAUUGGCGGACGGGUGAGUAACGCGUGAGAAUCUAGCUUCAGGUUGGGGACAACAGUUGGAAACGACUGCUAAUACCGAAUGUGCCGAAAGGUGAAAGAUUUAUUGCCUGAAGAAGAGCUCGCGUCUGAUUAGCUAGUUGGUGGGGUAAGAGCUUACCAAGGCGACGAUCGGUAGCUGGUCUGAGAGGACGAUCAGCCACACUGGGACUGAGACACGGCCCAGACUCCUACGGGAGGCAGCAGUGGGGAAUUUUCCGCAAUGGGCGAAAGCCUGACGGAGCAAUACCGCGUGAGGGAAGAAGGCUCUUGGGUUGUAAACCUCUUUUCUGAAGGAAGAAAAAAAUGACGGUACUUCAGGAAUCAGCAUCGGCUAACUCCGUGCCAGCAGCCGCGGUAAUACGGAGGAUGCAAGCGUUAUCCGGAAUGAUUGGGCGUAAAGCGUCCGCAGGUGGCAAUUCAAGUCUGCGGUUAAAGGUUCUGGCUCAACCAGAGACAGGCCGUGGAAACUGAAUAGCUAGAGUAUGGUAGGGGCAGAGGGAAUUCCCAGUGUAGCGGUGAAAUGCGUAGAGAUUGGGAAGAACACCGGUGGCGAAAGCGCUCUGUUAGGCCAAAACUGACACUGAGGGACGA
rnacentral:rRNA from 1 species